GACGAACGCUGGCGGCGUGCUUAACACAUGCAAGUCGAACGGUAAGGCCUUUCGGGGUACACGAGUGGCGAACGGGUGAGUAACACGUGGGUGACCUGCCUCGAGCUCUGGGAUAAGCCUGGGAAACUGGGUCUAAUACCGGAUAUGACCUUUGGCCGCAUGGUUGGGGGUGGAAAGUUUUUCGGCUCGAGAUGGGCCCGCGGCCUAUCAGCUUGUUGGUGGGGUGAUGGCCUACCAAGGCGACGACGGGUAGCCGGCCUGAGAGGGCGACCGGCCA
rnacentral:rRNA from 1 species